AUUGAACGCUGGCGGAAUGCUUUACACAUGCAAGUCGAACGGCAGCACGGGGCAACCUGGUGGCGAGUGGCGAACGGGUGAGUAAUACAUCGGAACGUGCCCAAUCGUGGGGGAUAACGUAGCGAAAGUUACGCUAAUACCGCAUACGAUCUACGGAUGAAAGCGGGGGAUCGCAAGACCUCGCGCGAAUGGAGCGGCCGAUGUCAGAUUAGGUAGUUGGUGGGGUAAAGGCUCACCAAGCCAACGAUCUGUAGCUGGUCUGAGAGGACGACCAGCCACACUGGAACUGAGACACGGUCCAGACUCCUACGGGAGGCAGCAGUGGGGAAUUUUGGACAAUGGGCGCAAGCCUGAUCCAGCCAUUCCGCGUGCAGGAUGAAGGCCUUCGGGUUGUAAACUGCUUUUGUACGGAACGAAAGGUCCUGGUUAAUACCUGGGGCUCAUGACGGUACCGUAAGAAUAAGCACCGGCUACUACGUGCCAGCAGCCGCGGUAAG
rnacentral:rRNA from 1 species